rnacentral:tRNA from 3 species
GAGAGUAGGUUGAAAACGAGAAUAAGCUGCUAACUUAUAACUCUAGCGGUUAAAAUCCGUUAAUACUCUUA